AGGACGAACGCUGGCGGCGUGCUUAACACAUGCAAGUCGAACGGAAAGGCCCGCUUGCGGGUACUCGAGUGGCGAACGGGUGAGUAACACGUGGGCAACCUGCCCUCAGCUCUGGGAUAACUCCGGGAAACCGGUGCUAAUACUGGAUAUCGACUUCUGCUCGCAUGGGUGGUUGUUGAAAGUUUUCGGCUGGGGAUGGGCCCGCGGCCUAUCAGCUUGUUGGUGGGUGAUGGCCUACCAAGGCGACGACGGGUAGC
rnacentral:rRNA from 1 species